UGAGAAGCCGCUCCUUAUGAGUAAUUUUGGCUAAGCAUAGAGAAGUCAUUUCGUCGUGAAUUUUCUCUAUGCUUUUAUUAUAUCA
rnacentral:antisense_RNA from 1 species